ACUAAAUGUUUUCUCCCCAGAGCACUCUACUUUGUGAAGAUUGUGUGUCCUGGGCAGCUGUCCCAACUUGGGCUGGAAUAAAACUCUUUUCCUAUUUCUUUAAGAUAAUAAUAAUAAUAAUAAUAAUAAUAAUAAUAAUAAUAAUACAAGGUUUGUUUAUUUUGCAUCAAUAUCAGAAAGGUAGGAGGAGGGAAAACAGAUUCCUUCCAAAAUGCUAUCUUUCAGAAAGCUCGAUUUCUUUCCACAGUUUUCCUGCACCACAAACAUCCCAUUUCAGGUCCAGUUGACUAAUUUUUCUCAUUUUGGGUAAUUAGAUGUAACACAGUGAUGGCUUCAACAUCUCUUGAGAAUUCUCUCCCUGCGAUAUAAUGAUUUAUAUGAAAUAUGUAUUUGGUCAUUCAGAUGACCAAAAUUUAUUUCACAGAUCUGCUUGGUUUUCACCCACGGUUUCUAAAAAUGCUUCAGAGCCUUAGGAGUGAAGUGACAGCCUCAUUAUUAAUGAAGAUGACUUUUGGGCUCCACCCAAGGGCAGAGGCUGGUGGCCGGCAGGAUCAACCAUGUGAUUAGAGGGUUGGAAAUUUUAGUCCCACCCCCUGACCUCUGCGGAGGGGAGAGGGGCCGACGGUUGAAUCAGCCAGUAGCUGGUGACUGAGUCAUUCAUGACUAUGUAAUAAAGCCACUGUAAAAAUCCAAGAGCCCAGCUUCUGGUCCUGUUAUGGAGACUUUGCACGUUUGGGAAACCUCAACACCCGACGUGCCACUAAACUGCGCCCAGACUCCACGAAGACAGAAGCUCCUUUGUUGAGUAACUUAGCCCUAUGUAGCUCUUCAUCUGGCUGCUGAUUCGUGUCCUUCAAAAACCUGGAUCCAGUCCGGAAUACCACAUUACAUUCAGCCGACAUGUGUCUCCAACUUCCUCUGCUCUCUGUCUGAUUCUCAGUCUCCUAGAAUUUUAUGAACUUGACAGAUUUUAUUUUUUUAAGCAAUCUCUUCACCCAACGUGGGGCUCGAACUCACAACUCUGAGAUCAACAGUCACAGGCUCUUCUGACUGAGCCAGCCAGGCGCCCCCAUGUGUUUAACUUUUUGAGGAAAAGCGUAGCAACUGCACCAUUUUGCCUUUGUUCUGGGAAUACCCAAGAGUUACAACUUCUUCAUAUCCUCACCAAUGCUUGGUAUUUCUUGUUUUUGUUUGUUUGUUUGUUUUUUUUCUCUAUGUAAUCAUCAUCCUAAUGGGUGUGAAGUGGUGUACCAUUGAGGUUUUGAUUUUCAUUUCUGUAAUGAUUAGUGAUGUUGAAUAUUUUUUAAUGUGUUGUUUAAUGAUGUUGAACAUCAUUUGUGUCUCUUUUUCGGAGAAAUGUAUGUUCAAGUCCUACGACUCUUUUUUAAUUGGGCUUGUUGUUGAAUUGUAAGAGUUAUUUAUGUAUUCUGGCUAUUAACUCUUCAUCAGAUACCUGAUCUGCAAAUAUUUUCUUCCAUUCUUUGGGUUGCCUUUGUACUCGUUUAAUAAUGUACUAGGAUGCACAAAAGCUUUUACUUUUGAUAAAGUGUAUUUUAUCUGUUUCUCUUU